rnacentral:tRNA from 1 species
GGGAUUGUGGCUCAGCGGUAGAGUGCUCAUCUAGCAAGAGCGAGGCCCUGAGUUCGAUCCUCAGCACCA